rnacentral:rRNA from 1 species
CCUACGGGAGGCUGCAGUGAGGAAUAUUGGUCAAUGGCCGCAGGGCUGAACCAGCCAAGUCGCGUGAGGGAUGACGGUCCUACGGAUUGUAAACCUCUUUUGUCAGGGAGCAAAGGGCGCCACGUGUGGCGCUUUGCGAGUACCUGAAGAAAAAGCAUCGGCUAACUCCGUGCCAGCAGCCGCGGUAAUACGGAGGAUGCGAGCGUUAUCCGGAUUUAUUGGGUUUAAAGGGUGCGUAGGCGGAAUGUCAAGUUGGCGGUAAAAUUUCGGGGCUCAACCCCGUCUUGCCGUGGAAACUGGCGUUCUUGAGUGAGCGAGAAGUAUGCGGAAUGCGUGGUGUAGCGGUGAAAUGCAUAGAUAUCACGCAGAACUCCGAUUGCGAAGGCAGCAUACCGGCGCUCAACUGACGCUCAUGCACGAAAGCGUGGGUAUCGAACAGGAUUAGAUACCCGUGUAGUC